AAGUCGUAACAAGGUUUCCGUAGGUGAACCUGCGGAAGGAUCAUUACUGAUAUCUUCAACCUCUCAAGUCAUCGCUGGACAGUUUCGGCUUUCAGUGCUUUCUUAAGAGGGGAUGCCGUUUGAGAAAUUGCUUAGGCUUUUUCUUGGAUUGGAAUCCAACCCAUUCUGUGAACUAUUGUUAUAAAAGACUUCCGGUGAAGAAGCUGCGGCUGAAUGUCUAUGCAGACACCAGUCGUAGUGGGCGCAUCGGCCAUUGAAAGGUCUUUUUUUAUUAUUUUACGCUUUGAAAAUGUUUGGCUAUUAUGACACUAAAAUCUAAAAAACUUUAGUGGACACAUUCUAACAAAUAAAAACUUUCAACAACGGAUCUCUUGGCUUGCU
rnacentral:misc_RNA from 1 species